AUGGCUGUCGUCAGCUCGUGUCGUGAGGUGUUGGGUUAAGUCCCGCAACGAGCGCAACCCUUGUCAUUAGUUGCUACAUUCAGUUGGGCACUCUAAUGAGACUGCCGGUGACAAACCGGAGGAAGGUGGGGAUGACGUCAAGUCCUCAUGGCCCUUAUGGGUAGGGCUUCACACGUAAUACAAUGGCGCGUACAGAGGGUUGCCAAGGAGCGAUCUGGAGCCAAUCCCGAAAAGCGCGUCGUAGUCCGGAUUGCAGUCUGCAACUCGACUGCAUGAAGUCGGAAUCGCUAGUAAUCGCGGAUCAGCAUGUCGCGGUGAAUACGUUCCCGGGUCUUGUACACACCGCCCGUCACACCAUGGGAGUGGGUUUCACCAGAAGCCGGUCGCCUAACCGCAAGGGGGGCGCCGACCACGGUGAGAUUCAUGACUGGGGUGAAGUCGUAACAAGGUAGCCGUAUCGGAAGGUGCGGCUGGAUCACCUCCUUUCUAAGACGCGCCUCUCCAGCGCCCACCAUCUAUCGGUUGUCCUUUUCGUGACCCAACGGGUCUGUAGCUCAGUUGGUUAGAGCACCGUCUUGAUAAGGCGGGGGUCGAUGGUUCGAAUCCAUCCAGACCCACCACAACCAACACUUUUCACCGCUCGAGGAACCAGCAGGCAGCUUUCGCUUUGGGUAGCGGGGAUGCCUGGUGUUUCUUCGGAAGCAUCGAUCGGCUGCUCUUUAACAAUCCGGGAUGGAAGGUAAAGUUGUUCUCGUCUUUGAGGGCGCGCGCGUGCGGUUUGCGUGUGCUGGAAGAGGCGAGGGCUAACUGGGUUAUGUAUUGCAUCGUGUCUUCACCGCGCAAGUGGUGGGGAUGCAAGCACAAGCGUGAGAAUUUCCUAUUUCUUUGAGAUGUCCUGGGGGACUUUGCCCUGGGAUGCUUUGCGCCUCUUAAAAGGGGCGAGGCGGCAAGGUUAUAGGGUCAAGCGAAUAAGUGCAUGUGGUGGAUGCCUUGGCGAUAACAGGCGAUGAAGGACGCGACAGCCUGCGAUAAGCCGCGGGGAGCCGGCAAAUGGGCUUUGAUCCGCAGAUUUCCGAAUGGGGAAACCCGG
rnacentral:sRNA from 1 species